ACUCCUACGGGAGGCAGCAGUGGGGAAUAUUGGGCAAUGGGCGCAAGCCUGACCCAGCAAUGCCGCGUGAAGGAAGAAGGCUUUCGGGUUGUAAACUUCUUUGACAGGGGAGGAGCAGAAGACGGUACCCUGAAAACAAGCCACGGCUAACUACGUGCCAGCAGCCGCGGUAAUACGUAGGGGGCAAGCGUUAUCCGGAUUUACUGGGUGUAAAGGGAGCGUAGGCGGCAUGGCAAGCCAGAUGUGAAAUACCGGGGCUCAACCCCGGGACUGCAUUUGGAACUGUUAAGCUGGAGUGUCGGAGAGGCAGGCGGAAUUCCUAGUGUAGCGGUGAAAUGCGUAGAUAUUAGGAGGAACACCAGUGGCGAAGGCGGCCUGCUGGACGAUAACUGACGUUGAGGCUCGAAAGCGUGGGGAGCAAACAGGAUUAGAUACCCGUGUA
rnacentral:rRNA from 1 species